UUAAGCGACUAAGCGUACACGGUGGAUGCCCUGGCAGUCAGAGGCGAUGAAGGACGUGCUAAUCUGCGAAAAGCGCCGGCGAGGUGAUAUGAACCUUUGACCCGGCGAUGUCCGAAUGGGGAAACCCAGUGCAAUCCGUUGCACUAUCGUUAACUGAAUACAUAGGUUAACGAGGCGAACCGGGGGAACUGAAACAUCUAAGUACCCCGAGGAAAAGAAAUCAACCGAGAUUCCCCCAGUAGCGGCGAGCGAACGGGGAGCAGCCCGGAGUCUGAAUCAGCUUGUGUGUUAGUGGAACGGUCUGGAAAGUCCGACGGUACAGGGUGAUAGUCCCGUACACGAAAGCACACAUGCUGUGAACUCGAAGAGUAGGGCGGGACACGUGGUAUCCUGUCUGAAUAUGGGGGGACCAUCCUCCAAGGCUAAAUACUCCUGACUGACCGAUAGUGAACCAGUACCGUGAGGGAAAGGCGAAAAGAACCCCGGCGAGGGGAGUGAAAAAGAACCUGAAACCGUGUACGUACAAGCAGUGGGAGCCUCUUUAUGGGGUGACUGCGUACCUUUUGUAUAAUGGGUCAGCGACUUAUAUUCUGUAGCAAGGUUAACCGUAUAGGGGAGCCGAAGGGAAACCGAGUCUUAACUGGGCGUUAAGUUGCAGGGUAUAGACCCGAAACCCGGUGAUCUAGCCAUGGGCAGGUUGAAGGUUGGGUAACACUAACUGGAGGACCGAACCGACUAAUGUUGAAAAAUUAGCGGAUGACCUGUGGCUGGGGGUGAAAGGCCAAUCAAACCGGGAGAUAGCUGGUUCUCCCCGAAAGCUAUUUAGGUAGCGCCUCGUGAACUCAUCUUCGGGGGUAGAGCACUGUUUCGGCUAGGGGGCCAUCCCGGCUUACCAACCCGAUGCAAACUACGAAUACCGAAGAAUGUUAUCACGGGAGACACACGGCGGGUGCUAACGUCCGUCGUGAAGAGGGAAACAACCCAGACCGCCAGCUAAGGUCCCAAAGUCAUGGUUAAGUGGGAAACGAUGUGGGAAGGCACAGACAGCCAGGAUGUUGGCUUAGAAGCAGCCAUCAUUUAAAGAAAGCGUAAUAGCUCACUGGUCGAGUCGGCCUGCGCGGAAGAUGUAACGGGGCUAAACCAUGCACCGAAGCUGCGGCAGCGACGCUUAGGCGUUGUUGGGUAGGGGAGCGUUCUGUAAGCCGUUGAAGGUGUGCUGUGAGGCAUGCUGGAGGUAUCAGAAGUGCGAAUGCUGACAUAAGUAACGAUAAAGCGGGUGAAAAGCCCGCUCGCCGGAAGACCAAGGGUUCCUGUCCAACGUUAAUCGGGGCAGGGUGAGUCGACCCCUAAGGCGAGGCCGAAAGGCGUAGUCGAUGGGAAACAGGUUAAUAUUCCUGUACUUGGUGUUACUGCGAAGGGGGGACGGAGAAGGCUAUGUCAGCCGGGCGACGGUUGUCCCGGUUUAAGCAUGUAGGCGGAGGUUCCAGGUAAAUCCGGUACCUUAUUAACGCUGAGGUGUGAUGACGAGGCACUACGGUGCUGAAGUGAUAAAUGCCCUGCUUCCAGGAAAAGCCUCUAAGCAUCAGGUAACACGAAAUCGUACCCCAAACCGACACAGGUGGUCAGGUAGAGAAUACCAAGGCGCUUGAGAGAACUCGGGUGAAGGAACUAGGCAAAAUGGUGCCGUAACUUCGGGAGAAGGCACGCUGAUAUGUAGGUGAAGUCCCUGCGGACGGAGCUGAAAUCAGUCGAAGAUACCAGCUGGCUGCAACUGUUUAUUAAAAACACAGCACUGUGCAAACACGAAAGUGGACGUAUACGGUGUGACGCCUGCCCGGUGCCGGAAGGUUAAUUGAUGGGGUUAGCGGCAACGCGAAGCUCUUGAUCGAAGCCCCGGUAAACGGCGGCCGUAACUAUAACGGUCCUAAGGUAGCGAAAUUCCUUGUCGGGUAAGUUCCGACCUGCACGAAUGGCGUAAUGAUGGCCAGGCUGUCUCCACCCGAGACUCAGUGAAAUUGAACUCGCUGUGAAGAUGCAGUGUACCCGCGGCAAGACGGAAAGACCCCGUGAACCUUUACUAUAGCUUGACACUGAACACUGGUCCUUGAUGUGUAGGAUAGGUGGGAGGCUUUGAAGCGUGGACGCCAGUCUGCGUGGAGCCAACCUUGAAAUACCACCCUUUAAUGGCUGGUGUUCUAACGUAGACCCGUAAUCCGGGUUGCGGACAGUGUCUGGUGGGUAGUUUGACUGGGGCGGUCUCCUCCCAAAGAGUAACGGAGGAGCACGAAGGUUGGCUAAUCCUGGUCGGACAUCAGGAGGUUAGUGCAAUGGCAUAAGCCAGCUUGACUGCGAGCGUGACGGCGCGAGCAGGUGCGAAAGCAGGUCAUAGUGAUCCGGUGGUUCUGAAUGGAAGGGCCAUCGCUCAACGGAUAAAAGGUACUCCGGGGAUAACAGGCUGAUACCGCCCAAGAGUUCAUAUCGACGGCGGUGUUUGGCACCUCGAUGUCGGCUCAUCACAUCCUGGGGCUGAAGUAGGUCCCAAGGGUAUGGCUGUUCGCCAUUUAAAGUGGUACGCGAGCUGGGUUUAGAACGUCGUGAGACAGUUCGGUCCCUAUCUGCCGUGGGCGCUGGAGAAUUGAGGGGGGCUGCUCCUAGUACGAGAGGACCGGAGUGGACGCAUCACUGGUGUUCGGGUUGUCAUGCCAAUGGCACUGCCCGGUAGCUAAAUGCGGAAGAGAUAAGUGCUGAAAGCAUCUAAGCACGAAACUUGCCCCGAGAUGAGUUCUCCCUGAGACUUUAAGUCUCCUGAAGGAACGUUGAAGACGACGACGUUGAUAGGUCGGGUGUGUAAGCGCAGCGAUGCGUUGAGCUAACCGAUACUAAUGAACCGUGAGGCUUAACCU
rnacentral:rRNA from 1 species